AGACGCCUACGGGACGCAGCAGUAGGGAAUCUUCCGCAAUGGACGCAAGUCUGACGGAGCAACGCCGCGUGAGUGAAGAAGGAUUUCGGUUCGUAAAACUCUGUUGUUAGAGAAGAACAGCGCAUAGAGUAACUGUUAUGCGUGUGACGGUAUCUAACCAGAAAGCCACGGCUAACUACGUGCCAGCAGCCGCGGUAAUACGUAGGUGGCAAGCGUUGUCCGGAUUUAUUGGGCGUAAAGCGAGCGCAGGCGGUCAAUUAAGUCUGAUGUGAAAGCCCCCGGCUCAACCGGGGAGGGCCAUUGGA
rnacentral:rRNA from 1 species